CUGAGUACGGCGGAACACGUGAAAUUCCGUCGGAAUCCGGGAGGACCAUCUCCCAAGGCUAAAUACUCCCUAGUGACCGAUAGUGAACCAGUACCGUGAGGGAAAGGUGAAAAGCACCCCGGAAGGGGAGUGAAACAGUUCCUGAAACCGUGUGCCUACAAGUAGUUAGAGCCCGUUAAUGGGUGAUAGCGUGCCUUUUGUAGAAUGAACCGGCGAGUUACGAUUUGUUGCAAGGUUAAGCGGAAAAAGCGGAGCCGUAGCGAAAGCGAGUCUGAAUAGGGCGCAUAAGUAACAGGUCGUAGACCCGAAACCAGGUGAUCUACCCAUGUCCAGGAUGAAGGUAAGGUAAUACUUACUGGAGGUCCGAACCCACGCACGUUGAAAAGUGCGGGGAUGAGGUGUGGGUAGCGGAGAAAUUCCAAUCGAACUUGGAGAUAGCUGGUUCUCUCCGAAAUAGCUUUAGGGCUAGCCUCGAGGUAAAGAGUCAUGGA
rnacentral:rRNA from 1 species